CCUACGGGGAGCAGCAGUGAGGAAUAUUGGUCAAUGGACGGAAGUCUGAACCAGCCAUGCCGCGUGCAGGAAGACGGCUCUAUGAGUUGUAAACUGCUGUUGUACAAGGGUAAACCUGAAUACGUGUAUUCAGCUGCAAGUACUGUACGAAUAAGGAUCGGAUAACUCCGUGCCAGCAGCCGCGGUAAUACGGAGGAUGCGAGCGUUAUCCGGAUUUAUUGGGUUUAAAGGGUGCGUAGGCGGAAUGCCAAGUCAGCGGUAAAAUCGCGGGGCUCAACCUCGCUCCGCCGUUGAAACUGGCGUGCUUGAGUGGGCGAGAAGUAUGCGGAAUGCGUGGUGUAGCGGUGAAAUGCAUAGAUAUCACGCAGAACUCCGAUUGCGAAGGCAGCAUACCGGCGCCCAACUGACGCUGAAGCACGAAAGCGUGGGUAUCGAACAGGAUUAGAUACCCCAGUAGUC
rnacentral:rRNA from 1 species